rnacentral:rRNA from 1 species
CGGCAAGUGCGGCUGCUAUACAUGCAAGUCGAACGAACUCUGGUAUUGAUUGGUGCUUGCAUCAUGAUUUACAUUUGAGUGAGUGGCGAACUGGUGAGUAACACGUGGGAAACCUGCCCAGAAGCGGGGGAUAACACCUGGAAACAGAUGCUAAUACCGCAUAACAACUUGGACCGCAUGGUCCGAGUUUGAAAGAUGGCUUCGGCUAUCACUUUUGGAUGGUCCCGCGGCGUAUUAGCUAGAUGGUGGGGUAACGGCUCACCAUGGCAAUGAUACGUAGCCGACCUGAGAGGGUAAUCGGCCACAUUGGGACUGAGACACGGCCCAAACUCCUACGGGAGGCAGCAGUAGGGAAUCUUCCACAAUGGACGAAAGUCUGAUGGAGCAACGCCGCGUGAGUGAAGAAGGGUUUCGGCUCGUAAAACUCUGUUGUUAAAGAAUAACAUAUCUGAGAGUAACUGUUCACGUAUUGACGGUAUUCAACCAUAAAGCCACCGACAACUUCGCGCCACCACCCGCGGUAAUACGCAAGUGCCAAGCGUUGCCCGGACUGAUGCUCCUUUUGCUCCCGCCCG